rnacentral:rRNA from 1 species
AUUGAACGCUGGCGGCAGGCCUAACACAUGCAAGUCGAACGGUAACAGGAAACAGCUUGCUGUUUCGCUGACGAGUGGCGGACGGGUGAGUAAUGUCUGGGAAACUGCCUGAUGGAGGGGGAUAACUACUGGAAACGGUAGCUAAUACCGCAUAACGUCGCAAGACCAAAGAGGGGGACCUUCGGGCCUCUUGCCAUCGGAUGUGCCCAGAUGGGAUUAGUUAGUAGGUGGGGUAACGGCUAACCUAGGCGACGAUCCCUAGCUGGUCUGAAGGGAUACCCACCCACACUGGAACGGAGACACGGUCCAGACUCCUACGGGAGGCAGCAGUGGGGAAUAUUGCACAAUGGGCGCAAGCCUGAUGCAGCCAUGCCGCGUGGAUGAAGAAGGCCUUCGGGUUGUAAAGUACUUUCAGCGGGGAGGAAGGGAGUAAAGUUAAUACCUUUGCUCAUUGACGUUACCCGCAGAAGAAGCACCGGCUAACUCCGUGCCAGCCGCCGCAGUAA